rnacentral:rRNA from 1 species
CCUACGGGUGGCAGCAGUGAGGAAUAUUGGUCAAUGGGCGCGAGCCUGACCCAGCCAAGUCGCGUGAGGGAAGACGGUCCUCUGAUUUGUAAACCUCUUUUGUCGGGGAGCAAAAGACGCCACGCGUGGCGUUCCGAGAUUACCCGAAGAAAAAGCAUCGGCUAACUCGGUGCCAGCAGCCGCGGUAAUACGGAGGAUGCGAGCGUGAUCCGGAUUUAUUGGGUUUAAAGGGUGCGCAGGCGGAAGAUCAAGUCAGCGGUAAAAUUGAGAGGCUCAACCUCUUCGAGCCGUUGAAACUGGUUGUCUUGAGUGAGCGAGAAGUAUGCGGAAUGCGUGGUGUAGCGGUGAAAUGCAUAGAUAUCACGCAGAACUCCGAUUGCGAAGGCAGCAUACCGGCGCUCAACUGACGCUCAUGCACGAAAGUGUGGGUAUCGAACAGGAUUAGAUACCCGAGUAGUC